CAGGCAGACAGACAGGGAGUCAGGCAUGUCCACCCAGACGCCCCCCUCCCAUUGGCUGCGGGAUGUUGACACCUGUCCGGAGCGCAGGGUUACCGUGGACAUCUUGGGUGCUUCCCUGAUUAAUGCUGUCCUUGCCCGGCCUGACAGUGUAGAUGGCCACCCAUGUGUUGAAAAACUAGUGGAGAAGUUCUGAAAUGCAAGCCUGCAUGUGACGACCAGACCUGAUGGUGAGGUGAGUCCAUCAACCCAAAGGAUUGAUAAAGAUGAAUGCCUCCAAAAAUAAAUGUCACGGUUUAUUUUGUCUGUUUGUGUAUUAAAUGUAAAGUGCUGAAUAAAGAAGUU